rnacentral:Y_RNA from 1 species
GGAUGGUCCAAAGGUCGUAAUUGAUGACAGUCAGUUACAGAUUGAACUCCUUGUUUUACUCUUUCCUCCCUUCUCACUACUGAACUUGAUCAGUCUUUA